CCCGGGCCCGGCCGGCGGCAGGGUGGCGCCCUCGGGGGCCCUCCCGAGGGUCAGCUGCGGACGGCGGCCGGGGCGCGGCGGGCGCGGGAAGCCAGAGGACGGCUGACUCAUCUUCCUUCCCGCCGCCUCCCCUCUGCUAUAGUCUGGGAAACUGCCAGGUUCUGAGCCAGAGAAGGAAGAGGAUGGCCUCACCCUGUGGACCCCACCCUCCAGGAAUGGAUUUAUGCUUCACUGUUGGUGGCAACUAUAGAAACCACAGGUGCUGGGACGCCCUCCUGAAGCCUUCAAUGUGGCUGCUUCCCAGUGAAGAGCGAGGGUGCCCCCAUCUGAUACCC